rnacentral:rRNA from 1 species
UACGAAGGGGAGCUAGCGUUGCUCGGAAUCACUGGGCGUAAAGGGCGCGUAGGCGGCCAUUCAAGUCAGAGGUGAAAGCCCAAGGCUCAACCUUGGAACUGCCUUUGAUACUGUUUGGCUUGAGACCGGUAGAGGUAAGUGGAACUGCGAGUGUAGAGGUGAAAUUCGUAGAUAUUCGCAAGAACACCAGUGGCGAAGGCGGCUUACUGGACCGGUUCUGACGCUGAGGCGCGAAAGCGUGGGGAGCAAACAGG